CCUUCCUGUUUCUAUGACAACGACGCACAGAGGACCCAGUUAGCUUCACACUGAAAACAAAAGCCAACAGAACUCUUUUAAUUUAUCCUUCCAGUUUGUUGGACUCUUCCAUGAUUAGGCACAUCCUGCUGCUUCCUGAUAAAAACUGCUUUUAAUGUGGUUUUGUGGUUUUCUUGGUUUAGACCUUUCAACAACACUCUGUAGAUUUUCACUGGGCACUAAGUCUCUAAGGCUUUUAUAACACCUUUAGGUUUAAAUGACCUCUUGGCCUCCUUGCUCUCCCAGAAAUCAGGAUAAACAUUUAUACUUUCUCUGAAUCUUAAGGGAACUUUAUUGAUAGGAAACUUUACAGUGUCCUCUUGCUCAUCUGACACAUGACUUGAGUCCAAAGGUGGAUUAUGACAAACAAGGGCUGGUGAGCUGAAAUGACUGAAAUGGAGCUUAGCCGUCACCAUGGUGAUAGCUGAGUCAAUGCCAAGGAUUCCAGUAAACACCGAAUGUAACAGAAAUAAAAGCGAAAGGUCGCCACUUACAGGGAAUUCCCGGGAAAAUCCUGCACAAUGAAAUUUCAAAAAGCCUGUGCAGAUAAUUCCACAUCACACCAAGCGUGCAGCAGUACCACGGC